CAUUGGGACCAGUGCUAAAAUCCAAAAGGCCCAGGACAGCAUUUUAUGGGUGGACCCCCUCUCUCCUUGGGCCUAAUGGGUGAAUAAUACCACAGAGGACCUUGGUGGGACCCCUCAUCGCCCUCAUCACAACAUCGACAACAGCCCUGUGUUUAUCUGAGAUGCUUUGAUGCCCAGAGAACAUCUUCAACUAACAAAACAAGACAUGCUAGGGAGGAGAGGCGCUCAUGUACAUCAAAGCAUGAAGAGAAAUAUGAGUCCUGACUAUUGUUACACACCGAGGCCUGUGUGUUCAUACAGUGGGGAGUUCAUUUGUGUGUUACUGGUCAUUUCGAUCUUUUUUUCUGCCUUAAAAGGUCUGGCUGUCAGUCGUAUUGUUGACUAGGGGCCGGAGUGACACUGGCCCCCUGAAGCGUCCACCUGAUAUAGCAGCGAAAGAUCACAGAGAUGGACUUUUCAGUCCAGUCCAAACUUGAGAAAACUGUACUAAGCAAAUUUUAAUGGAUAUCCCUGCUGAAAAGACCAGCGUGUACAAUUUCCAAACCAACAGCGAUUCACCGCAGCCAGACUCCCAUGAGGCCAUGGGUGUCUGGACGUGAUGUCACACCUCUGACAUCUUCUAGCCUCUGCUACCUGAAAGUGUCAGCUCUUCGCUGCUUUAUGGUGAAGAGAAAGCCUGCUUGGAAGGGAUCAGUUGUGUUUUUCUGCACUUGAGAGGAGGUGCUUCAGGUACAAGUGGAGCCGCGGUUUCACCUAAAAGCAGAAAGAGCGUCCCAGAGGUCCCUCGACAUCCCCCGCAUGUCUCUUUUCUCUUCCCUCCUUCUUUUUCUCUCGCCUCACUGAAGCCGUCCGAUCGCGUUAGCCUCAUCGCAGUGCUAAAACGCUCUCUCUGCGCCCCCUCUGUCCUCUGCGCUGUUGCCGCCCUCAUUUCCACCAAACAGAAACACUUUGAAAAUCUCUCCGAACAGGAAAGAUUGCAGGCCUCACUUCCUGCACCAGCCGACCCUCCCUCGCUCUGUGGAGGAGGACAAUCUACUGGAAGGAACGAGGGACUUGGCCGCAGACCAGAGCAGAAAGAGAGAAAUACUGUAGCUUGAAGUCCGACCGUGUGCAUGUGUAGAACAAAAGAGGUCACGUGAACAGCGGAAUGAAGAAAAAAGAGGAUUGAACAGGGCAACGAUUGAUCACGAACACACCUGGUGGAAAGAGAGGGAGCUCCCACGUGACGUCAGACGGAGAGAGUGAGGGCUCUCUCUCUCUGCAACCAGGGGUCAAGGGCAACAUGUUCCCAACAAACACACAGAGAAAACGAUUAACAGGACUUUCACAGCAGGGGAGAUGUAUGGAGGGAGCUGAGAGGGUCUCUAGAGAACAAAAAUAGCAGGAAGCUGACCUUCUUCUUCACAGUGUCACUGAGAGCAUCUCCAGUGCUCCUAAAUUUAGUUCUCUGAGAAGUUUUUCAGAGAGAAAAGGAAAACAUGGGAAAUUCCACUCUUUCUCUUUUCUCUCUCUUUCAAUUCAGUGUCAAACAAAACAAAACAGCAGUGCGUCGUAAAAUUAUAACUCAGUUUAGUAAGCUUUGUUGGCGUUAAUAAAACUACAUUGUUAUUGUCAAAUAACUGAAACAAAAUAAAAACAACCCAACAGUUUAGUGUAAAAUUUGAAUUUGUAUUGCCAAAUGCAGUACUAAACUUAACUAAGCAACAGUAGAGUGUUAAAUUUAGAUUUGUAUUGCCAAUGCAGUGCUAAACUAACCAAACUAAAAAAUAGUUUAGUGUAAAAUUUGUAUUGUCAAAGUAGUGCUAAACUUAACAACAGUAAAGUGUUACAUUUCAAUUGGUAAUGCCAAAGCAGUGCUUAACUAAACUAAACAGUGCAGUGUAAAAUUUGUAUUGUGUAAAGCAAUGUUAAACUAAAUUAAGCUAAACAACUAAACUAAACAACAGUGCAGUGUAAAAUUUGAAUUUUUAUUGCCAAAAUCAGUGUUAAACUAAAAUAAAUUCAGCUAAGCUAAACUAAAAACAACAGUACAGUGUAAAAUUUGUACUUGUAUUGUGUAAAGCAAUGUUAAACUAAACUAAGCUAAACAACUAAACUAAACAACAGUGCAGUGUAAAAUUUGAAUUUGUAUUGUGUAAAACAAUGUUAAACUAAACUAAACUAAGCUAAUCAACUAAACUAAACAACAGUGCAGUGUAAAAUUUGUAUUGCCAAAGCAGGGCUAAACUAAACUUAACUAAACUAAACAAGAAUUCAGUGUAAAAUUUGAAUUUGUAUUGCCAAAACAGUGUUAAACUAAACUAAACUAAACAACAGUGCAGUGUAAAAUUUGAAUUUGUACUGCCAAAACAGUGUUAAACUAACCUAAACAACACUGCAGUGUAAAGUUUGUAUUUGUACUGCCCAAAGGCAGUGUUAAACUAAACUAAAAUCAGUUAAGCUGAACAACUAAACAACAAUGCAGUGUAACAUUUAAAUGUUUAUUGCCAACACUGUGCUAAACUAAAAUUAACUAAGCUAAACAACAGUGCAGUGUAAAAUUUAACUUUUAAUGGCUAAAGGCAGUGUUAAACUAAACUAAAUUCAGCUAAGCUGAACAACUAAACUAAAAUAAACAACAGUGCAGUGUAAAGUUUGUAUUUGUACUGCCCAAAGGCAAUGUUAAACUAAACUAAAAUCAGUUAAGCUGAACAACUAAACAACAGUGCAGUGUAACAUUUAAAUUUUUUUAUUGCUAGCACAGUGCUAAACUAAAAUUAGCUAAGCUAAACAACAGUGCAGUGUAAAAUUUUAAUUUUAAUGGCUAAAGGCAGUGUUAAACUAAACUAAAUUCAGCUAAGCUGAACAACUAAACAGUGCAGUGUAAAAUGUGAAUGUUUAUUGCCAAAAGCAGUGCUAAAACUAAACUAAACAACAGUGCAGUGUGAAGUUUGAAAUUAUACUGCCCAAAGCAAUCUUAAACUAAACUAAACUAAACUAAACUAAACAACAGGGCAGUGUAAAAUUUGAAUUUGUAUUGCCAAAAGCAGUGCUAAACUAAACUAAAUUCAGCUAAGCUGAACAACUAAACUAAAUAACAGUGCAAAGUUUGUAUUGCCAGAGCAGUGCUAACUAAACUAAACUAAACAAAACAACCGUUCAGUGUAAGAUUUGAAUUUGUAUUGCCAAAACAGUGCUUAACUAAAUUAAACUAAAUAGUGCAGUGUAAAAUUUGAAUUUGUAUUGUCAAAACAGUGCUAAACUAAACUGAACAACAGUUCAGUGUAAAAUUAGAGUAGUGCAAAUAAGUGAAACAAAAGAAGUCAAUUUGAAAUAAAUGAUCAGACAAUUAAAAAAUAUAUAUAUAAGCUAGGAGGGCAACAGUUACUGUAAGUUAAAGUCUCUCUUUUGUUUUUUUCUCUCCAUGUCUCUGAGCAGAAGCCCUGUUCUGAGGUCAGUUUUCUGCUGUAACUGAUGUCAGAUUCAUCUUUGCUCCGGCUCCAGUUUUCCCAUGAACACAUGACCACAUGAGUGACAGCUCCACGACCUCCAUGAGUCCCCAGUGAGGUUGAGCCCACAGAGCCAGGACAGGAGGCACUGCUGGGGUUCCACCCACAAAUAUUCUGUCUUCCUCUGUGACCCAUUAUUCCCGUUUACGGUGAACUGAUCCUCAAACACACACAGCGUGGGAAUCCCAUCACCCUCACACAACAUCUCAGGAUAUAUUUAGACAUUAAACUAACUUUCCAACAGUCAAAAUGUUCCAGACAGUGUGGAUUACAUGCAUACAACGAAGAACUAGUCGUUGGAUGCUUGCCCAUGAAUCUAUGAAUUUUGAAUAUUCCAGAUGUCUUCUGCACUCAAAUCUUAUCAGUGUUUUUAGGGGAUUUCCCAAUGCAUCAAAAGAUUUUGCAAUAAGUAGGAAGUAAACAAGAUAUCCUUGACCAAACUUCUGUAUUCCUCUUUGUUCUUAAGGUUAUAUUCUGAGUUACCUGGCUCUAAAGGGAAGUCAUGAAUGCAGAUUUAAACCUUGUUGAUGCAGAAGUGAGAUGGAGAGCAGAACUAUUAGCCUUUAACCUUUUCUUCACGUCUGUGGGACGUGAUCACAUCACCUCCUCCUAGGGGUCGAAAAGUCACAUGGCUACAGGCAUAAAAAACAUCAAGCGCUUUCUCAAAACAGCAUAAAGCCCUCUCAAAGCACUAGCUCCGAUCAGAUUAGCUGGCUUCUACACAACAUCACUGAGUCACAGGAAGCAAAGCCGUAUUUACAAGUUCCCAGGACUGCCGCAACAAGCACCUCUGUAUAAGAAAAGUCACUAGAUUUGUGAAAGUUUGCAGUGAAUAGAUUGUUCUGGGUGAUUUCUAGGGUAUUGCUAUGAGGUUGGGAAGACAUUCUGACUGGUUAUUUUGUUAAUUUGCUAAGCAGUUGCUAGGGUGUUGCAAGUGUAACCCCUCCAGUCCUAACUACUCCACCUCUUUCUUGUUCUGAGUGGGACUCAAACCGGGUCGCUGACAUGGGUAGUGGGUGCACUAACAAGGACGCUGAAGACUGCAGUCACUAGUGUGCCUCUUGAAAUUGGGGGAGUGAGGUUUACCUGCACAGCUCUUACCAGCUGGCCUACCUAAACUUUACUUCCAUCCGGGUCAUGGCACCAAUGUAACCUCUCUUGUCCUACCCGCUCCACCUCGUUCUUGUCUCGAGCAGGACUCGAAACCGGGUCAUAGGCAUGGGAGGUGGGUGCACUAACACGGACGCUAAAGACCAGAGCCACUAGCGUGGCCUAAUGGUUAGGGAGUCGGGCUUGUAAUCGAAAGGUUGCGGGUUCCAGUCCCAGGUUCCGGCAGGGAUUGAAGGUUGGAGGAGUAAAUAACCAGCGAUCUCUCCACCCUCAAUACCAUGACUGAGGUGAGUCCCUUGACUUACAGAUCCCCCAACUGCUUCCCGGGUGCCGCAGCGAUAGCAAUAUGGCUCCCCACUGCUCCGGGAGUGUGUUCACAGUGUGUGUGUGUGUGUGUGUGCAUGUUUGUUCACUACUCACUACUGUGUGUGUGCACUUGGAUGGGUUAAAUGCAGAGCACAUAUUCCGAGUAUGGGUCACCAUACUUGGCCACACGUCCUUUCCUUUCCUUUCCUUUCCUGUUUAGCUGGAAUCUAUUAAACUCACCGGGUCCAGGUCACGGCACCAGUGUUACACCUCCGGUCCUAACCGCACAACCUCAUUCUUGUUCUGAGUGUGACUUGAACUCGGGUCGCUGGCUGGCAGGUGCUAACAAAGAUGCUACAGACUGCAGUCACUAGCAUCAGUUGCUAGUGCACCUCUUGAGAUCAGGGGAGUGAGGUUUACUCUGCACAGCUUUUACCAGCUGGCCUCUGUUACACUCACCCCCAUAAACCUCACUCCCAUCUGGUGUGAAGGCACCAGUGUAACUCCUCCAGUCCUGACCGCAAAACCUCGUACCAAAUGGGACUCGAACCUGGGCCACAGGCAUGGGGGAUGGGUGCACUAACAAGGAUGCUAAAGACUGCAGCCACUAACACACCUCUUGAGAUCAGGGAGUGAGCUUUAGGGGGCAGUUGUGGCCUAAUGGUUAGAGAGUCAAACUUGCUUUGUGCUUGCUAAAGUGUUCUGCAAAGAUUUAGGCCUCUGCUUUGCAGUCGUUAGGGUGUUUUGGGUUGUUACUAGGUUGUUACUAAGGUGUUUUCCAAAUGGUGUUUAGUGCAUUGCAGUGUAGUUGCUAGUGUGUCUUUGGUGUUUUUAGGUGGUGGCUAAGAUGUUCUAAAUGGUUUAGUGCACAGCUAUGCAGUUGCCAAGCCAUUGCUUUGUGUUUGCUAAAGUGUUCAAAGUGGAUUUAUGCCAUUGUAAUGGAGUUGCUAAGGUCUUUGGUGUAGUUGCUAGUGAUGCAACAACAAGCACUUCUGAAGAACUAAAGUGUGUGACUUUGUCAAACCAUUUGCAAGGUUUAUACUGCUGUAUCUAUGAAAGUGGACCAGAUAUGUUACUAGACUACAUGGUUCCUGGCAUUGGAGGGGCGGGUUUGUUGAUUGAGUUAGUUUGAGCUUGAUUUCUGGAAAAACUGUUUCAUCUUUCCCUCUUAUAAAUACAAACUUACAGCACUGCUAACAUCCUCAGAUUACAGUCUCCAUUUCUCAGGCUGUGUGUUUCCUUUUGGAGCUUUGAAGAGUCACUUUAAGAUAAGAUAUCUCAGUGUAGGACGUCCUCUCCCAAUCGCAAGCUGGCUCUAACUAUUUAUAAACUCUAACAGGGCAGAAAGAUGGAAAUACUCGCUCUCCCCUCACUAAUGUGCACAUGUGAGGUAAUAUCACCUGACUCUUUCAUCAGGGACAAUUGGACUGGACUUCAGGAGAUGUUAAAACUUCCUGCUCUCUGAAUCGACACAAGAGGUCGUUUGCAAGCGCCAACCUUGCGCUAAAGAUCAUCAAUCAGAGAUGUGAAACCAUAACACAUGCCAUCUCUGUUUAUAUCUCUCUGUCUCUCUUGCUCUCUUCCCGCUGUCAUCUGGAUUACGUCUAUGAGCUGUCAGUGAUAAACCACAGGCCCACCUGAAAAUCUCUCCUCCGCUCUCGGCAUGUUUAGAUAACCCCCGGUCUAAGUUUCCAAACUAUUCAGUGUGUGUAAAAUUGCAACAAAAACACAAUGAAACUAUAUCAUUUCUACAAUAUCUGAUGCAACUCAUUCAGUUAUCAAAAUGAAAUCCCAUCUGUUAAAAACAAACUCAUGCAGAAGGUUUUGAUCAGCAAGAAUGAUGAAAACAAGAAGAAUGAGCUUCAAUUAUAAACCAAUCAAGAAUAUAAGUUUGUGCAAAACUUACUAUUUGUGUCCCAAAUCAUGCACUAUAUACUACGCACACAACUGUGUACUGUAUUAAUUUUAUAAGGUUAUUUUGUAAUUCAAAUUUGGAGUCUGAAAUCCCGCCCCCUCCAUUUUCGUAGCAUUCUCGCUGUUUGUUAGUUUACUGUGAAGUUUUAGGUUGUCAGUCAUUGUCAGAGUGUUGCUAUACGGUUGCCAAGCUGUUUUCAGUGUUUUAGCAUGUUGCUAUGCAUUUGCUAGGCUGUUCUAGGUCUUUUCUAUGCAAAGGCUUUUUCAGCAUUCUCUCUUUUUGUUAGUUUACUGUGAAGUUUCUAGGGUGUGAGUUGUUGUCCAGGUGUUGCUAUGUGGUUUUCAAGCUAUUUUGAGUGUUUUAACAUGUUUUUAUGCAGUUGCUAGGCUGUUCUGGGUUGUUUCUAUGCAAAUGCAAAAGCUUUCUCAGCAUUCUCUCUUUUUGCUUGUAAACUAUGAAGUUUCUAGGGUGUCAGUAGUUGUCAGGGUGUUGCUAUGCAGUUUCCAAGCUGUUUUAAAUGGGCAGUUUCUAUUUAAAUGAAAAAGUUUUCUCAGCUUUCAUCAGCUUUCUUUCUUUUUGUUUACUGUGAAGUUUCUAGGGUGUGAGUGGUUGUCAGGGUGUUGCUAUGCGGUUGCCAAACUGUUUUGAGUGUUUUAGUAUGUUGCUAUGUAGUUGCUAGACUGUUCUGGGGCGCGUUUCCCGUACAAUGACGUAACUCGCUGAUUAACCUCCAUAGUACAAUGCAUUGUUGUGGAAACGAACUAGCUAGUCACGACUGUUUCCCGAACAAGGUCGCAUCUCCGUCGUUUGAACCACAUUAGUUCAACAAUGUAGGGCCGUUGUUAAUGACAUCACCGAGUAAUAAUUUAUGCUAUUUAACUUAUUAGAGAUCUCUAAAAUGCAGCUAUAUUAAACAUGGCAUCAGGUGACUAAUUUACUAUUUUUUGUUCCAUGUAAUUUCGCUUUAUUUGAUGUUUGAUUCAUCCCGGGUUCCGUCUUACGUCAUACUCCGGGGUUCCCGUAGGCAUUUAUGCGCAUGCGCACUAUGCAAAAACGUUGCUUGCAGAGGAAGCCUAAAAAUACAUAGAUUAAAAUGCAUUUAUAUUUAGAUCGAGUGAAAGAUAUAGAUUGUACUGCAUAUUAGCUUGCUUAUUGUGUUCUCGUUUUUUGUUUGUUUGUUUACUGUUAAGUUUCUAGGGUGUGAGUUGUUGUUGAGGUGUUGUGUUGGUUUCCAAGCUAUUUUGAGUGUUUUAGCAUGUUACUAUGCAGUUGCUAGGCUGUUAUGGGUGGUUUGUAUGCAAAUGCAAAGGUUUUCUCAGCAUUCUCUCUUUUUGUUUGCUUACUGUGAAGUUUCUAGGGUGUCAGUGGUUGUCAGGGUGUUGCUAAGCGGUUGCCAAGGUGUUUUGAAUGUUUUAGCAUGUUGCUAUGCAGUUGUUCUGGGUGAUUUCUAUGCAAAUGCAUUAUUUUUGAUGGUUUGGUUGUUUACUGUGAACUUUCUAGGGUGUGAGUGGUUGUUAGGGUGUUGCUAUGCGGUUGGCAAGCUGUUUUGAGUGUUUUAGCUUGUUGCUAUGCAGUUGAUAGUCUGUUUUGGUUGAUUUCUAUUUAAAUGCAAAGGUUUUCUCAGCUUUCGUCAACGUUCUCUUUUUGUUUCUUUACUGUGAAGUUUCUAGGGUGUGAGUAGUUGUCAGGGUGUUGCUACGCGGUUGCCAAGCUGUUUUGAAUGUUUUAGCAUGUUGCUAUGAAGUUGCUAGACUGUUCUGUGUGAUUUCCAGGGCACUGCUAGGUGGUUACUUUCCAAAUUGAAAAGUGUUUUAGUACUCCCUGUUUGUUUGCCAUGGGGUUACCAAGGGGUUGCUAUGUAAUUGUUGAGGUGUUCUAAAUUUUCUGACAUGUUGCUGUGCAGUUGCAGUGGUGUUCUGUGUGGUUGCUAGAGUGUCGCUGUGUGGUUUCUAGUGAGUUCUGAGUGUUUUAAAAUGUUUCCAUGCAGUCGCUACAGUGUUCUAAAUGGUUGCUAAGGUGCUAUAAAUGUUUUAGUGCACUGAUAUGCACUGCCAGGGCCUUGCUUGGCAUUUACUAAGAUGUUCUGAGCGUAUAUAUUCGAUAUUUUGUUGUAGAGGUUUGAUUAAACAAGAUUUUAAACAAUAAUACUAGUAAUGUUUGUCUUAGGAAGCACCGCUAAUAAAAUUAUUUUCUCAUCAAAUUUCUUGCUUGGUUCAUAGAAAGUCCACACACAAGACCUCAGCUCUGAAAUAGCACCAUCUAUGGGUCUGAAGCAACAGACAGGCCAAGAGAUCUGAUUUGGGAUUCAGGAACGCUGCAGCACAGGCAGUGGGUGGAACUAAUGUCAUUAAAUAUGAAAGAACUUCCAGUGAAUUGAGGAAAGAAAGAGAGAGUGAGAAAAAGAGGAGAGCAGGGGUUACUGAAGACAGAGGAGGCGGGACUCAGAUGACAAACAUCCCACUGUACAAAUAGCAACUUGAGAUCAAAUUGAUUCUCCCAAUCAACAGCAAAAACUCUGGUGUGUUGAUGGAGAGCCUCUACAGCCUACUGUGACCAGAACAUCUGUGAUAUAAAGCUCAGAACAAAAAAUGAAAUGUGAAAGAAAAAAGCAAUAAUCAGGUGAACUUGGGGUCAAAUCAUGAAAAGCAUGUUUUUUUUAUCUUUUCACAUGUACCAUGUAUAUUUAC